GACGAACGCUGGCGGCGUGCCUAAUACAUGCAAGUCGAGCGGACUUGAUGGGAAGCUUGCUUCUCUGAGAGUUAGCGGCGGACGGGUGAGUAACACGUAGGCAACCUGCCUGUAAGACUGGGAUAACUACCGGAAACGGUAGCUAAUACCGGAUAGGUGAUUUUCUCGCAUGAGGAAGUCAAGAAAGACGGAGCAAUCUGUCACCUACGGAUGGGCCUGCGGCGCAUUAGCUAGUUGGUGAGGUAAAGGCUCACCAAGGCGACGAUGCGUAGCCGACCGGAGAGGAUGAAGGGCCAAGCGGGGACUGGGACACGGCCCAGCCUCCUACGGGAGGCAGCGGUAGGAAAUCUUCCGCAGUGGACGAAAGUCUGACGGAGCAAAGCCGCGUGAGUGAUGAAGGUUUUCGGAUCGUAAAGCUCUGUUGCCAGGGAAGAACGUCUUAGAGAGUAACUGCUCUAAGAGUGACGGUACCUGAGAAGAAAGCCCCGGCUAACUACGUGCCAGCCGCCGCGGUAAUAC
rnacentral:rRNA from 1 species